CUUUCUUUGCUGGCGACCGGCGCACGGGUGAGUAACACGUAUCCAACCUGCCCUUUACUCGGGGAUAGCCUUUCGAAAGAAAGAUUAAUACCCGAUAGUAUAAUGAUUCCGCAUGGUUUCAUUAUUAAAGGAUUCCGGUAAAGGAUGGGGAUGCGUUCCAUUAGGUUGUUGGUGAGGUAACGGCUCACCAAGCCUUCGAUGGAUAGGGGUUCUGAGAGGAAGGUCCCCCACAUUGGAACUGACACACGGUCCAA
rnacentral:rRNA from 1 species